rnacentral:rRNA from 1 species
GAUGAACGCCGGCGGCGUGCCUAAUACAUGCCAGUCGAGCGAACGGACGAGAAGCUUGCUUCUCUGAUGUUAGCGGCGGACGGGUGAGUAACACGUGGAUAACCUACCUAUAAGACUGGGAUAACUUCGGGAAACCGUAGCUAAUACCGGAUAAUAUUUUGAACCGCAUGGUUCAAAAGUGAAAGACGGUCUUGCUGUCACUUAUAGAUGGAUCCGCGCUGCAUUAGCUAGUUGGUAAGGUAACGGCUUACCAAGGCAACGAUGCAUAGCCGACCUGAGAGGGUGAUCGGCCACACUGGAACUGAGACACGGUCCAGACUCCUACGGGAGGCAGCAGUAGGGAAUCUUCCGCAAUGGGCGAAAGCCUGACGGAGCAACGCCGCGUGAGUGAUGAAGGUCUUCGGAUCGUAAAACUCUGUUAUUAGGGAAGAACAUAUGUGUAAGUAACUGUGCACAUCUUGACGGUACCUAAUCAGAAAGCCACGGCUAACUACGUG